CUUUACAAUGUCAUCCAAUAAAGUUGAACACUUGAACCAACACAUAGAAGAUUAGCAUGGUCCCUGGACUGUUUGUUUUUUACUUUUUAGUCAAUUCUUGAUUUUAU
rnacentral:snRNA from 1 species